rnacentral:rRNA from 1 species
GAAGGCCCCACUGUCUUAAGGAAAUUCCCAGUGAAAUUGAAUUCGUAGUGAAGAUGCUACGUCCAAUUUGUUAGACGAAAAGACCCCGUUGAGCUUUACUGGGACACUUACACGGCCCCGGCCUUAGAGCCCCCUCCGGGGGCUCGAAGGCCGAAUUUGAAUGGGCGGCUUAGACUAUGUGGCAGCCCCCCGUCGGGGGCAGAUGAAACCCCACUCCCCCAUGUCAAAGGGGCUAACCCCUCCCUUGGGGGGGACAAUGUAAGUAGGACAGUUUGGUUGGGGCGACCGCCUUUUAGAGAGUAACGAAGGUGCGCUUAAGGUGCGCAAUUAAUGACUGAAGCCUGACUGCGAGGGGGACACCCCGAGCAGACACCCCCAAGCCCGCCAGAGGGGGCGGGGGUGGGCCAUAGUGACCCGUUAAUUUAGAGUGGGAUAGUUAACGAUCAACGAAUAAAAGUUACCACGGGGA